rnacentral:rRNA from 1 species
AGGACGAACGCUGGCGGCGUGCUUAACACAUGCAAGUCGAGCGGAAAGGCCCUUCGGGGUACUCGAGCGGCGAACGGGUGAGUAACACGUGAGUAAUCUGCCCCUAGCUCUGGGAUAGCUCCGGGAAACCGGGAUUAAUACUGGAUACGACCACCUUAGACAUCUUUUGUGGUGGAAAGAAUUUCGGCUAGGGAUGAGCUCGCGGCCUAUCAGCUUGUUGGUGGGGUAACGCCUACCAAGGCGACGACGGGUA